rnacentral:rRNA from 1 species
CGGUAAGUUACCAAGGGCAUACGGUGGAUGCCUUGACACGAGCAGGCGAUGAAGGACGUAGUAAUCUGCGAUAAGCCACGGGUAGCCGAAAACAGCGUUAAUCCGUGGAUUUCCGAAUGGGGCAACCCGGCUGGAGUCAUGUCCAGUCAUCCCGAUCUAAUCGGGAAGCUAACCCGGGGAACUGAAACAUCUAAGUACCCGGAGGAAGAGAAAACAAUAGUGAUUCCCUGAGUAGCGGCGAGCGAAACGGGAAGAGCCCAAACCAGUGCGCGUAUGUUCACUGGGGUUGUAGGGCCCAUGUAGCGACUGCGCGAGAUAGCAGAACAUUCUGGAAAGUUUGACCAUAGAAGGUGACAGUCCUGUAAGCGAAAUCUCAAACAGCGUGUGGGGAACCCUGAGUACCACGGAGUAAGGGAAAUUCUGUGGGAAUCUGCCGGAACCAUCCGGUAAGGCUAAAUACUCGCUCGUGAUCGAUAGCGAACUAGUACCGUGAGGGAAAGGUGAAAAGCACCCAGUAUAUGGGAGUGAAAUAGACCUGAAACCGUAUGCUUACAAACGGUGGGAGCAAACCAGCAUCUGCGGAUGUUGGCAAGUGACCGCGUGCCUUUUGCUUAAUGAGCCAACGAGUUGCUCGUCCGUGGCAAGGCUAAGGUGUUCAGCACCGGAGCCGUAGCGAAAGCGAGUCUGAACAGGGCGUUCAGUCGCGGGCGGCAGACGCGAAACCGGGUGAUCUAUUCUUGGCCAGGGUGAAGGUUGGGUAACACCAACUGGAGGCCCGAACCGGUAUGGGUUGAAAACCGUUCGGAUGAGCUGAGAAUAGGAGCGAAAGACCAAUCAAACUCGGAGAUAGCUCGUACUCCCCGAAAUGUUUUUAGGAACAGCCUCGAUGUAGUCAGCAGCAGGUAGAGCACUGAUUGGGCUAGGGCCCUCACAAGGGUACCAAACCCAGACAAACUCCGAAUGGCUGCUUGAUGUUCGUCGGGAGUGAGGCAGUGAGGGAUAAGCUUCAUUGCCGAGAGGGGAACAACCCAGAUCGCCGUCUAAGGCCCCCAAGUCGAUGCUCACAGAGAAAGGAUGUUGCGUUACUGAGACAACCAGGAUGUUGGCUUAGAAGCAGCCAUUCAUUUAAAGAGUGCGUAAUAGCUCACUGGUCAAGUGACACAGCGUCGAUAAUACACGGGACUAAGCAUCGCGCCGAAGACGCGGGUUCAAUUUUAUUGAGCGGUAGGGGAGCAUUCUGUCGACUGCGAAGCGGUACAGGUGACUGGCCGUGGAGUUUACAGAAACGCAAAUGUUGGCAUAAGUAACGAUAACGGAAGUGAGAAUCUUCCGCGCCGAAAAUCUAAGGGUUCCUGCGCAACGUUCGUCGACGCAGGGUUAGUCGGCCCCUAAGGCGAGGCUGAAAAGCGUAGCUGAUGGGAAUCCGGUUCAAGGCCGCAAGGCCGAAUAUUCCGGAACCACCAAAAGAGUUAACCAAAGGGACGCAGGGGCGUGGUUCAUCCGAUUAUUGGCUAUUCGGAUGGGCGAAGCAACUGCCAAGAAAAGCUUUGGGUAUUUCUUCGGUGACCGUACCGUAAACCGACACAGGUAGAUGGGUUGAAUAUACUCAGGCGCGCGAGUGAGCCGUGGUUAAGGAACUCGGCAAAUUGGCCUCGUAACUUCGGGAUAAGAGGCGCCUCGAUCGUGAGAUCGGGGCCGCAGAGAAAUGGCCCAAGCGACUGUUUAACAAAAACACAGCACAAUGCAAAGUCGUAAGACGCAGUAUAUUGUGUGACACCUGCCCGGUGCCGGAAGGUUAAGGAAGGGGGUCCGGAGCAAUCCAAAGCUUCCGACCGAAGCCCCGGUAAACGGCGGCCGUAACUAUAACGGUCCUAAGGUUAAUAACGCUAGCCUUAGUAAAACUGAACUAUAUGCGGGAAACUCCUCGAACAGCUGUUCGGUACUCGUUUCAGUAGCACUGAAACAGUAAAAAUCCGACAGACAUGGGGACAAUCCGCAGGGAAGGCCCGAUACUGUAUCGGGAACCCUCAGAGACUUCACGUUUAGGAUGCGCUAAUGAAUCUUGAGGCUCAAUGGAUAACAGGUUUUGUGGAUGGUGAAGGUUGUUUUCACGUGGGAAUUAAUCCCCAUUCAGAAAUGACCACAGGGUUUCAAAUACUCCCUGAAUUCACUGUCGUACAGCACAAACGCGAUGUGCAAUUACUCUAUGCACUGAAAGCAUACUUCGGUUGUGGUGUUGUUCGCACGAACAAUGGUGACCGAAUGGCGUAUCGGGUUCGUAGCAAGGAGCACUUGCUCCAGCAUAUCGUUCCAUUUUUCCUUAAGCAUCCGCUUAAAUCCAAGAAGCGAGCAGAUUUUCAAAAAUUUCGCUCAAUCCUUCUAAAAAUGGAAGCGGGGGUUCAUCUAACAGCAGAAGGCGUUGAAGAAAUACGCCAAAUUGCUGCACAAAUGAAUCGAGGCGCAUUAAGAUAAAGUCCGACCUUACUGGAAACAGUAUAGGAGCAAUCGAGCGAAAUUCCUUGUCGGGUAAGUUCCGACCUGCACGAAUGGUGUAACGAUUUGGGCACUGUCUCGACCACGGGCUCGGUGAAAUUGUGAGCAUGGUGAAGACGCCGGUUACCCGCAUAUGGACGGAAAGACCCUAUGCACCUUUACUGCAACCUGACAUUGGCUUCGGGUAUCUCAUGUGUAGGAUAGGUGGGAGGCUGUGAAGCGGCUACGCUAGUAGUCGUGGAGCCAAUGGUGAAAUACCACCCUUGAUGUACUUGGAGUCUAACCAACGCGAGUGGAUCGCGGGGGACAGUGUCAGGCGGGUAGUUUGACUGGGGCGGUCGCCUCCCAAAAAGUAACGGAGGCUCCCAAAGGUUCUCUCAGCACGGUCGGUAAUCGUGCGUCGAGUGCAAACGCAUAAGAGAGCUUAACUGCGAGACUGACGGGUCGAGCAGAUGCGAAAGCAGGGGUUAGUGAUCCGACGGUUCCGAGUGGAAGGGCCGUCGCUCAAAGGAUAAAAGGUACGCUAGGGAUAACAGGCUGAUCUUCCCCAAGAGUUCACAUCGACGGGAAGGUUUGGCACCUCGAUGUCGGCUCAUCGCAUCCUGGGGCUGGAGAAGGUCCCAAGGGUUUGGCUGUUCGCCAAUUAAAGCGGUACGUGAGCUGGGUUCAGAACGUCGUGAGACAGUUCGGUCCCUAUCCUAUGCGGGCGAAGGAAACUUGAGGGGUGUCGCUCUUAGUACGAGAGGACCGGAGUGACUGGACCUAUAGUGCACCAGUUGUCACGCCAGUGGCACGGCUGGGUAGCUAUGUCCAGAAAGGAUAAGCGCUGAACGCAUCUAAGCACGAAGCCUACCCCAAGAUAAGGUUUCCCUAUCUGCGCAAGCAGAUCUGAAGGCUCCUGGGAGAUGACCAGGUUGAUAGGCUCUCGGUGGAAGCAUGGUAACAUGUUGAGCCAAGGAGUACUAAUAAGCCGUGAGACUUUCCUGA